GUGAGUCAUCGAAUCUUUGAACGCACCUUGCGCUCCUUGGUAUUCCGAGGAGCAUGCCUGUUUGAGUGUCAUUAAUAUAUCUAUCAACCCACUCUUUGUUGAGUGGUUUGGAUGUGGGGGUUUGCUGGCCUCUUUAAUGGUUCAGCUCCCCUGAAAUGCAUUAGCAGAACAACCCUGUUCAUUGGUGUGAUAACUAUCUACGCUAUUGAAUGUGAAGGGAAUUUCAGCUUUCUAACUGUCUUUGGACAAUUAAUCAUUAAUGUGACCUCAAAUCAGGUAGGACUACCCGCUGAACUUAAGCAUAUCAAUAAGCGGAGG
rnacentral:rRNA from 1 species